ACAGUCUGGUAUCGAUGGCGAUACCGGUGAAAACCGGUAUACGGGGGUAAUCUGACACCGUCAGGACGGCAUCUGCCGCGAACGGCUCUGCGAGCCGGGGCACCCCGCAAUAACUCAGCACACCUUCACCCCGGUGCGCAGAUAUCAGCUG
rnacentral:ncRNA from 1 species